rnacentral:rRNA from 1 species
GACGAACGCUGGCGGCGUGCUUAACACAUGCAAGUCGAGCGGGGAUACGAGGGAGCUUGCUCCUGAGUAUUCUAGCGGCGGACGGGUGAGUAACGCGUGAGCAACCUUUCUCUCAGUGGGGAAUAACACAGGGAAACUUGUACUAAUACCGCAUGAGACCACAGAGUCGCAUGACUUAGGGGUCAAAGAUUUAUUGCUGAGAGGUGGGCUCGCGUCUGAUUAGGUAGUUGGUGAGGUAACGGCCCACCAAGCCGACGAUCAGUAGCCGACCUGAGAGGGUGAUCGGCCACAUUGGGACUGAGACACGGCCCAAACUCCUACGGGAGGCAGCAGUGGGGAAUAUUGGGCAAUGGGGGAAACCCUGACCCAGCAAUGCCGCGUGGAGGAAGAAGGUUUUCGGAUCGUAAACUCCUGUCCUCAGGGAAGAGCAGAAGACGGUACCUGAGGAGGAAGCCCCGGCUAACUACGUGCCAGCCGCCGCCGUAAUAC